GGCUGACUAUCAGCAGUUCUUCACUGGCAAGCUUUAUGUUCCUGUUUAGCAGCUAAAGCUGCCAGCUGAAGAACUGUUGGGGCCAGC
rnacentral:pre_miRNA from 1 species